rnacentral:lncRNA from 1 species
UUUGACUUUUUCUACAAAAUAGAUAAGAAUUCCAAAUCUGAUUAAUUAAUUAAUUUUUCACUAAAUUUCUUAGUUACUACAAGGAAGCAAAGGUAGAAUGAGAAAAGGUUGAAAGUUGAAAAUAGGUAGGUACAAUAUUAACUCUCAUAUUGGUCUUUUUGACUAAUAAUUGUACUAUUUCAUUAUAACUCUCACCCACCCC